ACGCUGGCGGCGUGCCUAAUACAUGCAAGUAGAACGCUGAAGAGAGGAGCUUGCUCUUCUUGGAAGAGUUGCGAACGGGUGAGUAACGCGUAGGUAACCUGCCUUGUAGCGGGGGAUAACUAUUGGAAACGAUAGCUAAUACCGCAUAACAAUGGGUGACCCAUGUCAUUCAUUUGAAAGGGGCAACUGCUCCACUACAAGAUGGACCUGCGUUGUAUUAGCUAGUAGGUGAGGUAACGGCUCACCUAGGCGACGAUACAUAGCCGACCUGAGAGGGUGAUCGGCCACACUGGGACUGAGACACGGCCCAGACUCCUACGGGAGGCAGCAGUAGGGAAUCUUCGGCAAUGGGGGCAACCCUGACCGAGCAACGCCGCGUGAGUGAAGAAGGUUUUCGGAUCGUAAAGCUCUGUUGUAAGUCAAGAACGAGUAUGAGAGUGGAAAGUUCACACUGUGACGGUAGCUUACCAGAAAGGGACGGCUAACUACGUGCCAGCAGCCGCGGUAAUACGUAGGUCCCGAGCGUUGUCCGGAUUUAUUGGGCGUAAAGCGAGCGCAGGCGGUUUGAUAAGUCUGAAGUUAAAGGCUGUGGCUCAACCAUAGUUCGCUUUGGAAACUGUCAAACUUGAGUGCAGAAGGGGAGAGUGGAAUUCCAUGUGUAGCGGUGAAAUGCGUAGAUAUAUGGAGGAACACCGGUGGCGAAAGCGGCUCUCUGGUCUGUAACUGACGCUGAGGCUCGAAAGCGUGGGGAGCGAACAGGAUUAGAUACCCUGGUAGUCCACGCCGUAAACGAUGAGUGCUAGGUGUUGGGUCCUUUUCGGGAUUCAGUGCCGCAGCUAACGCAUUAAGCACUCCGCCUGGGGAGUACGACCGCAAGGUUGAAACUCAAAGGAAUUGACGGGGGCCC
rnacentral:rRNA from 1 species